rnacentral:siRNA from 1 species
AUGUUUUCAGGUGUAGAAGGAGCU